rnacentral:lncRNA from 1 species
GGGCUACCCACUUCAGGUCCCCUCUUGUGUCAAGAGCUGUUCUGUUGUCUCUUCUCUGCCUUGCUUAUUCUCCAGUUGUCCAUGUAACCUCAUUCUUCUUGGACAUGGGACAAGAACCCAGUACCCACCAAAUGGCAGGUGCAAAAAAUGCUGUAACACUGUAGCCCUCCAACCCUCUGCUGGCACCAGGCUGUUGCUUCAUGUAACAGGAAGCAGUGGCAAUGGGGCCAGGCCAGCCAAGAAGCUAUGAGCUGGAAUGUGGGCAGCAGGACUGAACAAGCUGUAAAACAAAUGAGCUGAAACUUGCUGCCCUCCCACCCCCAUUCACUGUGCUGCAGGCAGUGGAAAGAAGAGAGAGAUGUAUCACUCCUUGAGGGCUCAGACCUCAGGACUCCCCAAGCAACUGUAACACCCCUUGGGCUCCACAGUUGCUGGCAUCUCUGAGUUUUCAGAAGCCACUGCAGCCUCCUUGUCCAGACACUGGCACCCAAGCAGAAAUGAUUCAAGACAGCACACCCGGACCAGUCAUGGACUGAGCACAGAGUUGGCAGGCACUGGAUCCAGGCCCAUAGCACAAGCUGAGUGCAAUCACUGGGCUGAGUGAGAGGAGUAAGCCUAGCAGAAAACCCAGUGCCAAGCAAAGCCUGAGCAAAGGCACCACUAGCCACAGAGCUUUCCUGCUGGCAAAGGAGCACCAAAAGAAUCCUGUGUCAUUUCUGGGGGUCAUCUGAGAUCUGCAAAAGGGUCACUAAAGGCAUCUAAGUGUCUUGGUUGAUUCUUCUGAACUAAGCCACUUAGUUCAUUGAGUCUCUCCUUUCUGCAGAAUAUGAAAAUAGAUGCAAUUUAAGUUGGGAAAAGUCAAAGGUGACAUUAAAAAAUAUUUCACAACUAGCUGAAUUUGUGUGCAGCACAUUGUUGCUCCAGCUUAAAAACCUCCUGUGUGGUAAAUGCUUGGCAGCCCUGGGGAAGGCAAUGAACACGGUGAAAUUCAGUGCAGUGUGGUAAGACAAGGAGAGCAUGAAUAAUAUUUGGAGAUCUAGCACACCUUAGUGGAAACAAUUAUUAUUACAACUGCUUUGAAGACAUUUGAAUUUUAAACUCCAUUGUUUGUGAAAUUCUAUUUUGACUAAAUAGAGGGACUUUGUUCAGGCUUUUGUUGUCUUUAGCAUGAUGUGUUUCUUUCCUAAACUCCACACAGAUAAGAAGAUAAAUUUGAUCAUGAAUUUCUAAAAGUAGAAAUCAUAGGUUUUUUAGAAUUAGCAUAAAAUUAUUGUACAACCCUCCAUGGGCUAUCAAAUUGGGAGCAAUCCAAUUUUAUUUGCCAUCAUGGUCACAUAUAAAGUGUCAGAUUAUUCUUGUUAGAUGAUUAUUGUACAUUUAACUUAGAAAAGCUUCUCAGGUCUGCUCCUGAGAUGCUUGAAAGACUUUUGGUUUAAAUAGGUUGCAUAUGUUCUGCUGUUAAUGGCUGACCGUUUUUAUUUCAUAUUACUAAAAUGUAAUCAAGAAAAAGAGAGUAGAAAAUACAUCGCAAAUAUUCAGUCUACUAUCUAGACAAUUUCAAAAGCUUUCAAUUUUAUCUCCUGUUCCAUUAUCUUCAAUUGUAGAGUUUGGAUAGGAAAAGAAUUCAAAAAUAAAUACAAAACAUUCAUUCCAAUACAUGAAGAAAAUUAGCCCUGUUCAUGUACAUUUUCUAAUAUGGAUAUGUUUCUAAAAAUCAGAAUAUAAUAUUUAUGGAGUCAUUAGUAAAAUGCACUUGAUUAUCUAAGAAUCUCAACUGCUUGAUGCUUGAUCAAAAACUAGGUAGAAACUAAAUCAUGCCUAUCAACAAUUAAAUAUUUCUGAAAAGGGGACUUCCAAAAUGGUAGAAUAAGAAGCUCAGCAAAUACUUUCCCUAAAAAGUGACAACAGGGGUGGAGCCAAGAUGGCUGAAUAGGAAUAGCUCCAGUCUAUAGCUCCCAGUGUGAGCGACACAGAAGAUGGGUGAUUUCUGCAUUUCCAACUGAGGUACUGGGUUCAUCUCACUGGGGAGUGUCAGACAGUGGGUGCAGGACAAUGGAAGCAGUGCACUGAGUGUGAGCCAAAGCAGGGCAAGGCAUCACCUCACCCGGGAAGCACAAGGGGUCAGAGAAUUCCCUUUCCUAGUCAAAGAAAGGGGUGACAGAUGGCACCUGGAAAAUCAGGUCACUCCCACCCUAAUACCGCACCUUUCCAAUGGUCUUAGCAAAUGGCACACCAGGAGAUUAUAUCCCACGCAUGGCUUGGAGGGUCCUAUGCCCAUGGAGCCUCACUCAUUGCUAGCACAGCAGGCUGAGAUCAAACUGCAAGGUGGCAGUGAGGCUGGGGGAGGGGAGCCCACCAUUGCUGAGGCUUGAGUAAGUAAACAAAGUGGCUGGAAAGCUCGAACUGGGUGGAGCCCACCGCAGCUCAAGCAGGCCUGCCUGCCUCUGUAGACUCCACCUCUGGGGGCAGGGCAUAGCCAAACAAAAGGCAGCAGAAACCUCUGCAGACCUUAAUGUCCCUGUCUGACAGCUUUGAAGAGAGU